CACACCCACCUUCCGGGUUAGCGCCAAGGCUUUUUGAAUGCAGCUCUCGCGAGAACGCGCACUUCUCACGAGAAGUUCAGCCCUAGCCGCGCGUCAGCUCCGCCCACUUGCUGCGACUGCGCAGGUGCGGGCGAGAGCGGAGAGCUCGGAGUAGGCGUGGCGGGGCUGGUUCCAUCUCAACUUCGCUCUGAAUUGGUUUCCUGGGUGUCCACCAGGGGGCCCUUCUCCUCGCUGUGUUUUUUUGUUUUGUUUUGUUUUGUUUUGAUCUUUAAAGGCAGUACCUUCCGGAGAGACAGUGCUGCUGGACGGUGAAGCCAUGGGCUAGUCUGAGGCGUGCGGGCCUCUUGAGCCUGGCCAGCGGAUGGGCCGCAGGAGCUCUGAGGGCCCUUCCUUCUGGUCCUAAGGUCCCAGGAUCCUAAACCUGAGUGGCAGAGCCUGCCUAAAAGCAUCGUAGGACAGAGUCACAGCAUCUCUGUAGGACAGACUGAUGGCUAUUCUAUUGGCGUUAAUACUUGAGCCUUCCCCAUGUGCCCGAACGGGGCUGCAGUGUACACGGAUUGUCUAAAUUAAGCCUUGUGAGGAACUGUCUGGAUGGAGUACAGCCACUACCACCAUUGGACACUCAAUGUCAUAAGUGAAAUGAAUUCCAGGUGGUCCCUGCUUGUUUGGAUAAAUUGCUUAAAAUACACUGUAAACCUAAAACUAAUGUAAUAUUGAACAUCAACUGUAAU